rnacentral:rRNA from 1 species
AUUGAACGCUGGCGGCAGGCCUAACACAUGCAAGUCGAACGGUAACAGGAAGAAGCUUGCUUCUUUGCUGACGAGUGGCGGACGGGUGAGUAAUGUCUGGGAAACUGCCUGAUGGAGGGGGAUAACUACUGGAAACGGUAGCUAAUACCGCAUAACGUCGCAAGACCAAAGAGGGGGACCUUCGGGCCUCUUGCCAUCGGAUGUGCCCAGAUGGGAUUAGCUAGUAGGUGGGGUAACGGCUCACCUAGGCGACGAUCCCUAGCUGGUCUGAGAGGAUGACCAGCCACACUGGAACUGAGACACGGUCCAGACUCCUACGGGAGGCAGCAGUGGGGAAUAUUGCACAAUGGGCGCAAGCCUGAUGCAGCCAUGCCGCGUGUAUGAAGAAGGCCUUCGGGUUGUAAAGUACUUUCAGCGGGGAGGAAGGGAUUAAAGUUAAUACCUUUGCGCAUUGACGUUACCCGCAGAAGAAGCACCGGCUAACUCCGUG